GUGAGAUGGCAAUUUAGUUUUCACACACCAUUUAGUUGUGCUUUUAUUUCAGAUUAGUCUCUGGGUUUUUUUCCCCUCUUUUUAUUUCAGUUCUAAUGCAUGAGGCUCAACAGUGACCCAGGUCACAGUGGGAGAACUCACUGUCACAGCCUGAACUCCAGCUGCGACUGUCACUGUGGGUUUCAGAGAGGAGCAUGCCUGGCAGAGACAGGGGAGCAAGCAGCUCAUUGGCACACCAGUGCCUGGUGAUAACUAUGGACCAAAGUCCAUGCUCACAGGGAUCUGACAAGCAAUAGGGAAACACCACCACAGGCUGUCUCCAAAACGGGGCCUUGCAACAGGGGCUUGGUGAUCUGUGUUGUUUUGAGGCUCCUCAGCAGAUACACUCCUUUAGCACAAUAUAUGACCGUAAAUGAUCCAAGAUCAUCUUUGGGCACCCCCAGCUGUAGUUGGGAUUCCAGCAAGGUUCACCUGGAUUCCCAAUGAACCCAGGUUGUUUUACAGACACCCCUUGGUGAAAUGGUCCUUGCAAAGUGAAUUUCAAAGCCUUUUGUGGAGCAAAAGACUUUUCCCUGCAGACACGGAGAUGCUCAGUACUAUGGAGACCAGGUCUGAACCUGUUUAGAGCAAA